rnacentral:rRNA from 14 species
UUAAGUUAUUAAGGGCGCACGGUGGAUGCCUUGGCACUAGAAGCCGAUGAAGGACGUUACUAACGACGAUAUGCUUUGGGGAGCUGUAAGUAAGCUUUGAUCCAGAGAUUUCCGAAUGGGGAAACCCAGCAUGAGUUAUGUCAUGUUAUCGAUAUGUGAAUACAUAGCAUAUCAGAAGGCACACCCGGAGAACUGAAACAUCUUAGUACCCGGAGGAAGAGAAAGAAAAUUCGAUUCCCUUAGUAGCGGCGAGCGAAACGGGAAGAGCCCAAACCAACAAGCUUGCUUGUUGGGGUUGUAGGACACUCUGUACGGAGUUACAAAGGACGACAUUAGACGAAUCAUCUGGAAAGAUGAAUCAAAGAAGGUAAUAAUCCUGUAGUCGAAAAUGUUGUCUCUCUUGAGUGGAUCCUGAGUACGACGGAGCACGUGAAAUUCCGUCGGAAUCUGGGAGGACCAUCUCCUAAGGCUAAAUACUCUCUAGUGACCGAUAGUGAACCAGUACCGUGAGGGAAAGGUGAAAAGCACCCCGGAAGGAGAGUGAAAUAGAACCUGAAACCGUGUGCUUACAAGUAGUCAGAGCCCGUUAAUGGGUGAUGGCGUGCCUUUUGUAGAAUGAACCGGCGAGUUACGAUUUGAUGCAAGGUUAAGCAGUAAAUGUGGAGCCGUAGCGAAAGCGAGUCUGAAUAGGGCGUUUAGUAUUUGGUCGUAGACCCGAAACCAGGUGAUCUACCCUUGGUCAGGUUGAAGUUCAGGUAACACUGAAUGGAGGACCGAACCGACUUACGUUGAAAAGUGAGCGGAUGAACUGAGGGUAGCGGAGAAAUUCCAAUCGAACCUGGAGAUAGCUGGUUCUCUCCGAAAUAGCUUUAGGGCUAGCCUCAAGUGAUGAUUAUUGGAGGUAGAGCACUGUUUGGACGAGGGGCCCCUCUCGGGUUACCGAAUUCAGACAAACUCCGAAUGCCAAUUAAUUUAACUUGGGAGUCAGAACAUGGGUGAUAAGGUCCGUGUUCGAAAGGGAAACAGCCCAGACCACCAGCUAAGGUCCCAAAAUAUAUGUUAAGUGGAAAAGGAUGUGGCGUUGCCCAGACAACUAGGAUGUUGGCUUAGAAGCAGCCAUCAUUUAAAGAGUGCGUAAUAGCUCACUAGUCGAGUGACACUGCGCCGAAAAUGUACCGGGGCUAAACAUAUUACCGAAGCUGUGGAUUGUCCUUUGGACAAUGGUAGGAGAGCGUUCUAAGGGCGUUGAAGCAUGAUCGUAAGGACAUGUGGAGCGCUUAGAAGUGAGAAUGCCGGUGUGAGUAGCGAAAGACGGGUGAGAAUCCCGUCCACCGAUUGACUAAGGUUUCCAGAGGAAGGCUCGUCCGCUCUGGGUUAGUCGGGUCCUAAGCUGAGGCCGACAGGCGUAGGCGAUGGAUAACAGGUUGAUAUUCCUGUACCACCUAUAAUCGUUUUAAUCGAUGGGGGGACGCAGUAGGAUAGGCGAAGCGUGCGAUUGGAUUGCACGUCUAAGCAGUAAGGCUGAGUAUUAGGCAAAUCCGGUACUCGUUAAGGCUGAGCUGUGAUGGGGAGAAGACAUUGUGUCUUCGAGUCGUUGAUUUCACACUGCCGAGAAAAGCCUCUAGAUAGAAAAUAGGUGCCCGUACCGCAAACCGACACAGGUAGUCAAGAUGAGAAUUCUAAGGUGAGCGAGCGAACUCUCGUUAAGGAACUCGGCAAAAUGACCCCGUAACUUCGGGAGAAGGGGUGCUCUUUAGGGUUAACGCCCAGAAGAGCCGCAGUGAAUAGGCCCAAGCGACUGUUUAUCAAAAACACAGGUCUCUGCUAAACCGUAAGGUGAUGUAUAGGGGCUGACGCCUGCCCGGUGCUGGAAGGUUAAGAGGAGUGGUUAGCUUCUGCGAAGCUACGAAUCGAAGCCCCAGUAAACGGCGGCCGUAACUAUAACGGUCCUAAGGUAGCGAAAUUCCUUGUCGGGUAAGUUCCGACCCGCACGAAAGGCGUAACGAUUUGGGCACUGUCUCAACGAGAGACUCGGUGAAAUCAUAGUACCUGUGAAGAUGCAGGUUACCCGCGACAGGACGGAAAGACCCCGUGGAGCUUUACUGUAGCCUGAUAUUGAAAUUCGGCACAGCUUGUACAGGAUAGGUAGGAGCCUUUGAAACGUGAGCGCUAGCUUACGUGGAGGCGCUGGUGGGAUACUACCCUAGCUGUGUUGGCUUUCUAACCCGCACCACUUAUCGUGGUGGGAGACAGUGUCAGGCGGGCAGUUUGACUGGGGCGGUCGCCUCCUAAAAGGUAACGGAGGCGCUCAAAGGUUCCCUCAGAAUGGUUGGAAAUCAUUCAUAGAGUGUAAAGGCAUAAGGGAGCUUGACUGCGAGACCUACAAGUCGAGCAGGGUCGAAAGACGGACUUAGUGAUCCGGUGGUUCCGCAUGGAAGGGCCAUCGCUCAACGGAUAAAAGCUACCCCGGGGAUAACAGGCUUAUCUCCCCCAAGAGUUCACAUCGACGGGGAGGUUUGGCACCUCGAUGUCGGCUCAUCGCAUCCUGGGGCUGUAGUCGGUCCCAAGGGUUGGGCUGUUCGCCCAUUAAAGCGGUACGCGAGCUGGGUUCAGAACGUCGUGAGACAGUUCGGUCCCUAUCCGUCGUGGGCGUAGGAAAUUUGAGAGGAGCUGUCCUUAGUACGAGAGGACCGGGAUGGACAUACCUCUGGUGUACCAGUUGUCGUGCCAACGGCAUAGCUGGGUAGCUAUGUGUGGACGGGAUAAGUGCUGAAAGCAUCUAAGCAUGAAGCCCCCCUCAAGAUGAGAUUUCCCAACUUCGGUUAUAAGAUCCCUCAAAGAUGAUGAGGUUAAUAGGUUCGAGGUGGAAGCAUGGUGACAUGUGGAGCUGACGAAUACUAAUCGAUCGAAGACUUAAUCAA